rnacentral:ncRNA from 1 species
CAAAAGGCAAUGACGGAGAAAAGUACGCCACCUUUCUUUUUUUAGGAAGAAAAUGCCCAGACUGAAAGCAUUUUUAAAAAGAAACGGCCGAAGUUCACCUCCCGAGCCGGUGCUUGGACCACUUUUGUGUAAAGGCAUACCGGUUUUUACCGUUAUCUGAAUGAAGUGAAUGUGCAUUUUUUGUGCGUUAAAAAGGGUGGUACCGCGAUAUCAGAAGCCUCGUCCCUUUC